rnacentral:lncRNA from 1 species
GAAGCCUUUUCUGGGUAGAAUGGCUGGAACUGGAUUUCUGUCCAUUUGUUUCUCCUGAUUGAGAGAGGAUGGGAGGGGGUGUUAACAUGGCCUGAGACGGACCCCCGCCAAAUAUUCUUCCUGGUAAUCCCAUCAUCAGGGAUGGAUGGGUUCAAGAAGCUAUUACAAAAGACAUAGAUGUAGCAGCCACUCCCAGGCUGGCCUCCCAAUUCCAUCCUCCUGCCUCAGCCUCCUAAUUCACUGAGAUCACAGGUCUGCGCCAUCCACUGUGCCUGGCUCCCUUUGAAACAAUUAGUUUUAUUGUAUCAAAGCAAUACAAAUUCACAAGUUUCAAAGUCAGAUUAUAAAACAUUUAGAAUAAAACAUUAGUUUCGGUUCCUCUCCUUCUGAUCUGUCCUGAGAGACCAAAGCUUUCGACUCCCUUAGCUGCUUCUUCGUCCCCAUCUCCACAGUUCCAGUCUUGAUGGUUACAGGUUCCCAGCUGUUCCAUGAUGCUCCCUCAUUAAUGGAUCAAGCGCAUGUGCAAAAGGAUGUGGCCCGGCUCUGCCGGGUGCCACGCAGCUCUCAGUGCGGUCUUCCCUUUGUGGACUCUUCACCAGCAUAAAAACGUGUAAAAUUGGCCGGGUAUGGUGGUGCACGCCUGUAAUCCCAGUGGCUGUGGCGGCUGAGGCAGGAGGAUCGCAGGUUUGAGGCCAGCUUCAGCAACUUAGUGAGGCAAUAAGCAACCUAGUGAGACCCUGUCUUGAAAUUAAAA